UACGGAGGAUGCAAGCGUUAUCCGGAAUGAUUGGGCGUAAAGCGUCCGCAGGUGGCUGUGUAAGUCUGCUGUCAAAGAGCAAAGCUCAACUUUGUAAAGGCAGUGGAAACUACACGGCUAGAGUGCGCUUCGGGGCAGAGGGAAUUCCUGGUGUAGCGGUGAAAUGCGUAGAGAUCAGGAAGAACACCGGUGGCGAAGGCGCUCUGCUAGGCCGCAACUGACACUGAGGGACGAAAGCUAGGGGAGCGAAUGGG
rnacentral:rRNA from 1 species